GGUGAACGCUGGCGGCGUGCUUAAGACAUGCAAGUCGAACGGCGGUCUUCGGACUGUAGUGGCGCACGGGUGAGUAACGCGUAACUGACCUACCCCAAAGCCGCGGAUAACGAUUCGAAAGAAUCGCUAAUACGUGAAUUGCUGUCAGAUUGUGUUCUGACAGUAAAGAUUGAUUGCUUUGGGAUGGGUUUGCGUUCCAUCAGCUAGUUGGUUGGGUAAAGACCUACCAAGGCGACGACGGAGAGACGGCCUGAGAGGGUGGCCGGGCACAGGGACACUGGGACGCGGGUCCCGCUACUACGGAGGGCAGAAGUUAGGAAUCUUCCACAAUGGGCGAAAGCCUGAUGGAGCGACGAGGAGUGAGGGAUGAAGGUCUUCGGAUCGUAAACCUCUGAAUCAGGGACGAAAGACACUUCGGUGGGAUGACGGUACAUGAGUAAUAGCACCGGCUAACUCCGUGCCAGCAGCCGCAGUAAGAC
rnacentral:rRNA from 1 species